rnacentral:lncRNA from 1 species
AAAGAAUGAAAAAAAGAACAGCUCACAACUCUUACUUGACUUCUUGAAUCAGCUGGUGGAAUCCUAUGGAUUGAAUUCAAGAAUGGUAAGUAUAUACCAACGUGGUGCAGGGUUAAUGGACAUUUUGAAGUGAGCAAGUUAUGUUGUUUUCUCAUUUGCAUGGUGAAGUGGAGAGUGAGAGAGGGAAAAACAAGGUGCACCUAUAAUGCUUCAACAUUACAAGUAGGUUCAGUAAAGAUUUGGAUAAACUCGAAGAUGAUGGAUCUAUAACCAAUACGUCUGUAAGAAGUUAGGGCUGUUGUGGUUGAUGUUUUAAGACAGCGUGUUUUGAAGGAACUAAACAUUUUGUGUAGAGUUAUCUGAUGCCGUUUCUAGAAAGAGUUGGAGUGUUGUUCUCAUCCUUACUGAUAUCUGCUGUGCUCUUCGUGUUUGAACUUUGGAUUUCCUUUUGGGCUUAGCUCUCUCAGGCAGUCUCUAAACUUUCCUUUUAUCAUGCUUCCUGACUGAUGGAUCUAAUAGUAAUAUCAAAGCAGAUAAUGUAAAUAUACCCUUAGUAAAACUUCACCCCUGGGAUGGGAUCAGUUUUUUCCUGUUACCAUUGACUUAUGAAGAUCCUGGUAUACUUACUACUGACAACCUCCAGUGGUCUUAACAUGUGUAAAGCACAUGACAUGAGAGCUCAGAUAUGGCUGAAUAAAGGCUGUUUAAAAAGAGUGUCAUUGGAUAUAAGGGAACUUAGUCACAGUAUUUAGUUUUAAUGAGAACCAAUUGAGCAACAGCAUUAAAUAUUUUUUAAAGCUGUAACAGUACUUAGGUCAGUCGUGGUAUCUGCCUCAUUUCCAGGCCUUUUUAAAUGAAUCUUGUUCAUUUAUAGUCACUGCUUGAAGAGCAGCCCUUUGCAGCCUCAUUUUCUUCUACUCACCCUCUCAUCCUGCAGCAGCGCAAGGAGAGGGACCUGGUUUAAGGGCAGAGAAUUCGUACAUGGUGAUGUGUCAUGACUAGCUGAUUCUCUUUCAGGAAUUUAAGCUGGAAAAAGUGGACAGAAUUACGUAUAUAAUUACAAGUUAAAGGAAUAUUAUAUACUGCAUAAAUGAACCUUUCCACAGAAAGGAAACUCUUGAACUUGGAGAACAGACUUGUGGUUGCCAAGGGGGAGGGGGAGGGCGUGGAAUGGACUUGGAGUUUGGGGUUCAUAGAUGUAAACUAUCGCUUUUGGAGGAUAAGCAAUGAGAUCCUGCUGGAUGGCACUGGGAACUCUAUCUGGUCACUUGUGAUGGAGCAUGACAGAGGGUAAUGUGAGAAAAAGAAUGUGUGUGUGUAUAUAUAUAUAUAUAUAUAUAUAUAUAUAUAUAUAUGUUCGUGUGUGUGUGUAUGACUGUUUCAUUUUGCUGUACAGUAGAAAAUUGACAGAACACUGUAAACCAACGAUAAUGGAAAGAAAUAAAAAUCAUUAAAAAAUGGAGUAUAAAAAACUUUGUAAGAAAUGCAAACAUAUGACAAUAGGGUCAGUAUUAUAAGCAAGCAAGUGGAAAAUUUCUAGGUUCUGCUAGAAACUGCAACUGGUUCAACAGUAAUGCAGUCUGUGUUCCCCAGAGAAGCAUUUCAAUUUUCAGAACUGGUCAAACUUAUAACUGAGGCUUAGGGUGUGGAAAGGAUAGAACCACCAUUUUCUAACUGUGAAUACAUGUGUCUGUGUGUAAUAUCCAGUUCAUCCCUAGAGAUGCUAAUUAUUCUUUAAGAAUGUGGUAAUGAGGUGAAACAUUCUGUGUGCCGUCAGGAGUCAUAGAUCAUAUUUCGUAUCACUCAUUUAAAUCAGAGCAUUCAUUUUCAUUACAAGAUAGAGUCAGCGAUAGAAACAGAGGCAAACUAUGGGGAAAAUAAAGUUUAGCAAGUACGGACAGUAAGCCACACAAUAGUUGGCUCUUAGAAUGCUGACCUCAUUUACUUGUAGCCAGACUUGUUGAAAGAUGACUAGCAGAAGAAAAACAAAAAUCCCCUCUGUAGUGCAAUAUUCAUGUUAAUAGCCCUUAGCAAGGAAAAAACAUAAAUUUCAAGUUAAAUGCCAUAAAAGAUAAUUCUUUUGAAUGCAGUGUCAAGCCAGUGGGGAGAAAGGGGUCAUAGUGUCCACUUUUGUAUUAUUCCUCAACAUUCAUUUACCAAACACCUGUCAUGUCAAGAUAUAAAUGAAGAAGUAGACUUUGUUCAGAAAGCUUAUGGUGUGUGUAACCGAGAGCUAGGGAUAAAUCUCAUAGGUGAGAGUAAGCUGCAUCCUACGUUUAAUGAAUGUGUUCAUGCUCUGAUUUGUGUUUCAUCUUUCUCCUCCUCCGUCUGCCUCAGUCACAGAUUAGAAGACAGGCUGGAAAAAAUAAGACCUUUCAGAGGAGAGGGCUGAUUGGUUUGACAGGCAAGCACCUGUGGAAAUGAGUAGGUGAAGGUGGCUUAGGCUGCUGGCACCACCUCUGACAAGAGAAAAGCAAGAAAGUAGGCAGGUAAAGCCUGAUAGUUUGUAUUCAGGACAGUGAUGGAAUUGAGUGCAUGUUCUUAUGCUGCACCUGCCGCUUGAAUGAGUGAGUAAACAAGCAAAAUUAAGGGUUUCGGUUUUAUAAGUUAAUGCAAAAUGUAGCAUAUCUAAGUCUUUAAGAAAUUAGGGUGUUAGGUACAUACUCUCAAAGUGAAAAUGGCUGGUACGAGUUAAUGGAAAAAACAUAGGCUUUGGAGACAGAAAGACAUGAAGACAUGGAUUAAUCUAUUAUAUGAUAGAAAAGAUGAAAGGAGAUACAAUUUGUAAAAUAUCUAGCACAUGGCAGGUUAUAAUCCUAAAAGAUUUAUUAUUUUUGUCUUCAAUAACAAUUAUAACUAGUAUAAUCUUAAAUUUGAUUCUUGAGAGAAAUUUUAUGUAGUAUUUCCUAUGAUAUCAUUGUUGCUAAGAACACCCUGUCCAUAUACUUUGGGAGUGAAGAGACUUUCUCAGCGAACUGUAAGAAUUUAUAAUGUGCUAGGUGAAAGUAUAGUCUAAUUGCCGAGAAAUCAUUAGCUUAUCAAAUGAGAAGUAAUGGGGUAAGGCAGACGAGUCUUGGUCGUUAAGGGAUGUGUGUGGGCAGCUGUAUUAGUUAGCUUUUGCUGUGUGACAAAUUAUCCCGAAACUUAUUAGUGUUUUUAAACAGUAAUCAUUUAAUAAAGUUCAUAGUUCUGUGGGCCAGCAGUUUUGGUGGAGCUCAGCCGGGGGGCGGGGGGUUCUUGUGGUCUUGGCUGGUUUCCUUGGUGUGUCUUUGAUAAGCUGCUUAGUCAGCUAGGAUCUGGCUACUCAAGUAUGAUUUCAGGGGGGAUGGCUUGUUCUGCUCCUUGUGGCCUUCCAUCCUCCAGGAUGCUAACCUAGGGUUCUUCCAAGAGAUGUGAGGGGUUAUAAGAGACUGAAGGGGAGUGUGCAGAUGCCCUUAAAGUCUACUCUUGGAACUGGCAUACGGUUACUUCUGUCACAUUUUGUUGGCCAAAGCAAGUAACAAGGCCCAUCUAGAUUGGGGGUGGGGAAGUAGGCUUUGACUCCUGGUGGGAAGCAGAGUCACAUUGCAGAGGGCGUGCGUGUGGCCAUUUUUGCAAAGUGCUACAGCAGGGAAGGGCGUUCUGGUAGAUUUUAUGAGGAGAGCAAAAGAUCUUGAGAAGAAACUCCAAGAGACUGGUUCCACCUAACGCAACAGUUUUCGCAACAGAAAUGUUUAGAAAGGCCCUAAAGGGUGAUGUAGAACUUGAUGGGAACUCUGAAUUCCAAAGAAAGGUGCAGAUGAGGAUUUGAAUUUUUUCAGAGAGAAUAUAUGUUUAAGGUAAGGUAAGCUUUUCUGUAGAUAAAAGAAAUUAAUUUUAGAGAGAAAAGAAAUUAUAAAAUGUUGAAGACAACAGCUGAGUAAUUGCAAUAUGGAGAAAGUCAAGUG